rnacentral:lncRNA from 1 species
GAAAGCUUGCAAAAACAGAGGGUGAUAUGAUUCCUACAGAAGUCAUCCUCACCAGCUUCAAUGGAGGAGCAACUUCAGCUAAGGGAGUUAUGCCAUUGGACAUAACUAUAGGUACGACUACUAGGACCACUGUCUUCUUUGUAAUAGAUGGUCCUACUAGUUACAACGUGCUCUUAGGAAGGGAUUGGAUACACGGAAGUCGAUGUAUACCCUCGUCGCUCCAUCAAUGCCUGAUUUUUUGGAAUGACAAAGGCGAAGCAGAAGUGGUGCAGGCCGAUCAUAGGCCUUUUGUCGCAGAAGCAAACUCAGUGGAAAAGUUUAUGUACGAAGGAAACUAUGGACCUGUCAGAGUAGUACAAGACGGGGAAGAAACUCAAGUUGUCGCACAGAGCGAAGAACCAUUCUCAGUGGACGCACUCGCUGAGAUGUUCGAACAGAUGAGGCCAAACAUAGUGGCCUUAGGAGAGCCAGUGAUUGGCAAAAGAAUAAUCAAGGAAUCUUGAAUGGAUUCUGAAUUGCAAAAGCAAAUGGCUGAUAUUCAGGCCUUCAAAGCCAGACUGAUGGUUUUUAAUAAGGAAUGCAAUGACAAAGUAAAGGAAGAGACUGCCCUAAAAGCGUUGAAGGACAAGUUGGCAGUAUUCGAGUUAGAGCAAAGCCUUGGCCGAGAAGUCAACAAAGUGGACUGUUUGGAAGAGGAAGUACUUACAAGAGAACUGGACGACGAAGUGAUGCGGAUUGCCAAACCUGGAUACGCUCAAGCACAAGACCCUCUGAUCAAAGUAAACAUUGGCAAUGAAGGAGAAGAUCACCCAACGUUCAUCAGCCAG